rnacentral:rRNA from 1 species
ACUCCUACGGGAGGCAGCAGUGGGGAAUAUUGGACAAUGGGCGGAAGCCUGAUCCAGCAAUACCGCGUGUGUGAAGAAGGCCUUAGGGUUGUAAAGCACUUUUAUGUAGGAAGAAGGUAUGUGUGUUAAUAGCACAUGUAAUUGACGGUACUACAAGAAUAAGCACCGGCUAACUCCGUGCCAGCAGCCGCGGUAAUACGGAGGGUGCGAGCGUUAAUCGGAAUUACUGGGCGUAAAGGGGUACGUAGGCGGCUUUAUAAGUCAGAUGUGAAAUCCCCGGGGCUUAACCUGGGAACUGCAUUUGAAACUGUAUGGCUAGAGUGAGUGAGAGGUUAGUGGAAUUCCAGGCGUAGCGGUGAAAUGCGUAGAGGUCUGGAGGAACAUCAGUGGCGAAGGCGACUAACUGGCACUACACUGACGCUGAGGUACGAAAGCGUGGGGAGCGAACAGGAUUAGAUACCCUGGUAGGAUAGCG